GACGAACGCUGGCGGCGUGCUUAACACAUGCAAGUCGAACGGAAAGGCCCUGCUUUUGUGGGGUGCUCGAGUGGCGAACGGGUGAGUAACACGUGAGUAACCUGCCCUUGACUUUGGGAUAACUUCAGGAAACUGGGGCUAAUACCGGAUAGGAGCUCCUGCUGCAUGGUGGGGGUUGGACAGUUUCGGCGGUUGGGGAUGGACUCGCGGCUUAUCAGCUUGUUGGUGGGGUAGUGGCUUACCAAGGCUUUGACGGGUAGCCGGCCUGAGAGGGUGACCGGCCACAUUGGGACUGAGAUACGGCCCAGACUCCUACGGGAGGCAGCAGUGGGGAAUAUUGCACAAUGGGCGGAAGCCUGAUGCAGCAACGCCGCGUGCGGGAUGACGGCCUUCGGGUUGUAAACCGCUUUCGCCUGUGACGAAGCGUGAGUGACGGUAAUGGGUAAAGAAGCGCCGGCUAACUACGUG
rnacentral:rRNA from 1 species